rnacentral:rRNA from 1 species
AUUGAACGCUGGCGGCAGGCCUAACACAUGCAAGUCGAGCGGAUGAAGGGAGCUUGCUCCUGGAUUCAGCGGCGGACGGGUGAGUAAUGCCUAGGAAUCUGCCUGGUAGUGGGGGAUAACGUCCGGAAACGGGCGCUAAUACCGCAUACGUCCUGAGGGAGAAAGUGGGGGAUCUUCGGACCUCACGCUAUCAGAUGAGCCUAGGUCGGAUUAGCUAGUUGGUGGGGUAAAGGCCUACCAAGGCGACGAUCCGUAACUGGUCUGAGAGGAUGAUCAGUCACACUGGAACUGAGACACGGUCCAGACGCCUACGGGAGGCAGCAGUGGGGAAUAUUGGACAAUGGGCGAAAGCCUGAUCCAGCCAUGCCGCGUGUGUGAAGAAGGGCUUCGGAUUGUAAAGCACUUUAAGUUGGGAGGAAGGGCAGUAAGUUAAUACCUUGCUGUUUUGACGUUACCAACAGAAUAAGCACCGGCUAACUUCGU